rnacentral:siRNA from 1 species
UUGCACCUCUAUUGAGUAAUG